rnacentral:lncRNA from 1 species
UCCAGUUCUGUUAUUCCCAAUAGAAGCGUCAAAGUUAAUUUUAAUGCAGUUUUUUAGAGGUUUGACCCAUUUUCUAUCGUCAACCUGGGCAGAUAACAUCGGCAUAUUUAAUAGGUUAUGGAUUCAGAAUUCUUUACUGAACAUACUGGCCUUAUUCCAUAUGUCCUUUGCCUUAUCUUCUUUUCCCCUAAAAACUCGAUUGUUUUUGUUGUUCCAGCAAUUCCACAGAAU